AGUGAACGCUGGCGGUAGGCCUAACACAUGCAAGUCUAACGGCAUCACAGUAAGAGCUUGCUCUUACGGGUGGCGAGUGGCGGACGGGUGAGGAAUACAUCGGAAUCUACUUUUUCGUGGGGGAUAACGUAGGGAAACUUACGCUAAUACCGCAUACGACCUACGUGUGAAAGCAGGGGAUCUUCGGACCUUGCGCGAUUGAAUGAGCCGAUGUCGGAUUAGCUAGUUGGCUGGGUAAAGGCCCACACAGGCGACGAUCGGUAGCUGGUCUGAGAGGAUGAACAGCCACACUGGAACUGAGACACGGUACAGACACCGACAGGAAGAAGCAGUGGAGAAUAUUAGGCGAUGGACGAGAGCCUGAUCCAGCCAUACCGCGGAGAGGAAGAAGGACUUAGGGUUGGAAAACCAUUUUGUUGGGAAGGAAAAGAAACAGGUUAAUAGCGCGCGGUAAUGACGGUACCCAAAGAAUAAGCACCGGCUAACUUCGUG
rnacentral:rRNA from 1 species